GCCUUAGUUGGAUAUCGCUAGUCCGUCUGAGCUCACUAUGGAACUUCUACAACAACCACUCGUCGCCCUAGUGUGUCAGGCAGACGGAGGAGGAUAAAGUUUCAACGACGAGUGAUUAUGAAACGGCCACGUUAUCCUCGGAAGUGGUUAUUUCGGAGGUAGUUCCCCUAGAGAUUGAUCCUUCGGAGGCUCUGUCUUACGAGGAAGCAGCUCAGGCAGCUAUCACAACGAUGCUGGAGGUCAUUCCCUUUGAAGUGGCCCUUCUGGAAGACAUGGCGUUGGGCUCGGAUCUCUUGGUACCCGUAGUGGUCAUGUAAACCGUUCUGACAUCUCGGUGGAUGAUAGUUCCUACGAUAAAGUAUCAUUCGAAGUUUCUCCGAUGGUGGAUCCUUCGGAGGUAGUCGAGGAUAGGCCUGUAUUGGUUUUCUUCUCAUGAACGAUGUCGAAGGAUAUUCAUAAUUUUUGUUUAUUAAUAACUAUGGUUUUUUAUAUAUAUAAAAGCAAAUGUUGUACAUAAUGAAUUUUAAACAUUUCUGCUGGUCAGAUUACGACGAUUUUCAAAUAAAUGAAUUAACUGGAAAAAA